UACGAAGGGGGCUAGCGUUGCUCGGAAUUACUGGGCGUAAAGGGUGCGUAGGCGGGUCUUUUAAGUCAGAGGUGAAAUCCUGGAGCUCAACUCCAGAACUGCCUUUGAUACUGAAGAUCUUGAGUUCGGGAGAGGUGAGUGGAACUGCGAGUGUAGAGGUGAAAUUCGUAGAUAUUAGGAAGAACACCAGUGGCGAAGGCGGGUCUCUGGGCCGAUACUGACGCUGAGGAGCGAAAGCGUGGGGAGCGAACAGG
rnacentral:rRNA from 1 species